GACGAACGCUGGCGGCGUGCUUAACACAUGCAAGUCGAGCGAUGAACCUUUCAUGAAUUUUUCGGAAUGAUUGGAAGAGGAUUAGCGGCGGACGGGUGAGUAACGCGUGAGCAACCUGCCUUAAACAACGGGAUAGCCUCGGGAAACCGGGAUUAAUACCGUAUGAGACCCCGCCUUCACAUGAAGAAGAGGUUAAAGAUUUAUCGGUUUAAGAUGGGCUCGCGUCCUAUCAGCUAGUAGGUGAGGUAACGGCUCACCUAGGCGAAGACGGGUAGCCGGCCUGAGAGGGCGAACGGCCACACUGGAACUGAGAUACGGUCCAGACUCCUACGGGAGGCAGCAGUGGGGAAUAUUGGGCAAUGGGGGCAACCCUGACCCAGCGACGCCGCGUGGGUGAAGAAAUCCUUCGGGAUGUAAAGCCCUGUUGUAUGGGGAGAGCAGAAGACGGUACCAUACGAGGAAGCCCCGGCAAACUACGUGCCAGCAGCCGCCGUAA
rnacentral:rRNA from 1 species